rnacentral:rRNA from 1 species
AGUGAACGCUGGCGGUAGGCCUAACACAUGCAAGUCGAACGGCAGCACAGUAAGAGCUUGCUCUUACGGGUGGCGAGUGGCGGACGGGUGAGGAAUACAUCGGAAUCUACUUUUUCGUGGGGGAUAACGUAGGGAAACUUACGAUAAUACCGCAUACGACCUACGGGGGAAAGCAGGGGAUCUUCGGACCUUGCGCGAUUGAAUGAGCCGAUGUCGGAUUAGCUAGUUGGCGGGGUAAAGGCCCACCAAGGCGACGAUCCGUAGCUGGUCUGAGAGGAUGAUCGGCCACACUGGAACUGAGACACGGUCCAGACUCCUACGGGAGGCAGCAGUGGGGAAUAUUGGACAAUGGGCGCAAGCCUGAUCCAGCCAUACCGCGUGGGUGAAGAAGGCCUUCGGGUUGUAAAGCCCUUUUGUUGGGAAAGAAAAGCAGCAGGUUAAUACCCCGCUGUUCUGACGGUACCCAAAGAAUAAGCACCGGCUAACUUCGUG